AUUUCACCUCAGUAUCCAUCCUGCAGUCCCGUGGAUUCACUCAGCUGGUUAGUGCGUGGCAUUUCUAGCUCUGUUUGUGCUGGUGUAAAGUUUCGAGACGAAGUUGGUCUGUGCAAUGUCUUUUAAGUUUUCCCGGUUUGUGAUCGUACACAUUUUCCGUUUUAUUGUGUGUAACGUAUGAACAGACACUUUUUUGUGAAGAGUUGUGUUAUUAUUAAUACGUUAAUUAUAUGGCAGAAAGUGGUUGUAUGAGAAACUCAUUCACAAAGCGUCUUUUAUUACUUCAGGACUUGGUGUUAUUUUAGUGAAUGCGUCAGCUUGUAGAAAAUGAGCUGCAGUUUGAAAAUAGAGAAGCGAAAAAUUUAAAAAAAGGAAGCUUUUUUAAUAUCUUAAAAGUGCAUAAUUAAAAAUAAGUUUUUAUGACAGUUUGAUUACGAAAGAUAUUUCAAAAAUGGCGGUCUUCUAAUGUCGAAUGUCGAAUAAGUAACUGGCGUUCUGAAAGGAAGACCUAAAAAUUUCUCUAAAUUAAUAUUUAUUUCUUUUACCUAUUAAAUGACGAUGUUUUCAUUAUAAAACAUGAUACGUGUGAUGUUCUGAUGAAUAUUUUAUUACCCGGCCUGAACUCUGUAUUUAUUGCAAACAGGUGUGCAAUUUUGUCGUCUUAUCUUGUUGCUGCUUUCAGUAUGACGGAAAAAAUGAUCGUGUGCCCCUGUGAAAUAAGCAGGCAGAUAAAUUGGAAAAUGGAGCGCCGAUAUGAAACAUGCAAAGACCCACACACAAUAUUCUGAAAGCAAGGUUUUUAUAAGGACUGUUAUAUUUUUAUUCAAACACAAGCGUAACGUUUGCAAGAAAGAGGGACACAAGUUUAGUACACAUCAAAGUCGUCAUGAAACGCAUCAGAGGAACAUACAUCACUG